rnacentral:rRNA from 1 species
GAUGCCAUUUUCUUUUAGGGGAAUAGAGAUCAAAGUGGCUCGAGAAAGGUCUCUCGUGCUCUCGUAGGGUUUAGGGAUCGGCGGCGGCGACCACAUGGGGUUUAGGGAGCGGCGGCCGACGUGGAGGAGUUUAGGAUCGGAAGGACUUGGAGAGUGGGCGGGGACGGGAGAUAAGGAGCCGAGCGGUUGGUGACUUGGCGUAGGAGUCGUAGCUUGCAGCGGCAGGAGCAGAGUCGGCGGCGGCGGCGGCAGGAGCAGGGUCGGCACCAACAGCGGUAGGUUCAGUGUUGGCGGCGGCAGAGGCAGGUUCAAGAUCUGCGACGGCGGCGGUAGGAGCAGGUUCGGCGGCGGUGGCGGCAGGAGCAGGGUCAGCGGAAGCAGUGGCAGGGCGGUGGCGUCGAGAUAGCAGGAGGUUGGCGGCAGGCAAGGGGUAGUUCAGUAGAGUAGGAGACGGAUCAAGUCCUUCACCACUCCGAGCGAACCUAGAUCGUGUCCCGCAAAGGUGAGAUGACCGACCGAUAAUUGAGUCGAAUCUAGAACCUAGACGAUCACCUGAAACCCUCAAACAAUCGGUCGAACCACUGAGGUGUGAAAAAGUGAUAAAGUCGUUCGGAAACUUAAACAAUCUACCGUCUAACACGUACCUACAUAUCACCAACCGUCAUACCAGUUUAUGGAAGAUUGAAUACCGAACUUGUUUGGUUGGCUAAAGAUCUGGUACGUAAGAGAACAGGACCACAUCGGCUUACACCAUUUUAGUUCACAGGUACACGAUUCACAGUAUUAAUAUUAUUCGCGCCGUCCCUACUCCAUCUCUUUGUGAACAUAUUUAUACCCAAAUCCCUUUUGAUACUUUGCACCUAUCUUGUACCACUCUUCAUACAAGGAUCGGUUCUACCUAGAAGGAGACGGUGUUUAACACACUCCGUGCUGCUUUAACUGGCUUACCUGUUAUACAAUCAACUGGAUCCACCGUUGACAGGAGGUGGUUAACUACUUCUUGGUUGGAGGAGACGGUUCCGAAAGAUAUCCUACCAAUCGUCACGACUACUUUAACAGGUACUCUUGUGUUGUGUGAGUGCAGAAAGACGUCAUCGGGCAAACGAUCGUGAUUUUAGAGUCAUAUUAUACAGUUAACGUCUUAUACUACUACACAAUGUUUAGUAGGUACUUGAAUACGGAGGCCCACGAUUGAACAGGUUCCUGAAGAUGGUUAGAUUCUUUGAGAAUCUUCCGGAACCAUACGGAAUACAGUUCUAACUACAGACAUUUUUAUUAACGUACAACAUGAUAUUUCUAUUACUCGUAUUUCUCUUCACACUGUAGACGCCAUGUAGAGCGAUGCUCCUUCCGGUCUUAUUUCAGGGUGCAUUUCACAACUCUAUAGAGGGAGACUUUCUAUCUAAUAUCUCCAACAUACGUGUACUCCUUUAUCGUUUUGUAUACGUCAGCGUAUCAGCAAGGUUAAGACUAUUCUACCAGGUGGGAUAACUACCACUUCGAACCGUUCCCAUACUGUUCCUCAAGAGUCUUAAACGUCUUCUAGCAUCUUUACAGGCAGAACAGUAUCGACCACUACCAAAAUGUGGUAUGUUCAACUUACGACGAGGUAUAUGAACGACCGGAUGAAAGUAUCGAGGUAAUUUGGAAGGUGGGCCAUAAGAGAACUUUGGUCUCAUAUAUAAGGAAUCGGAACAAUAGGGACCAGGACUUGUAGGACCUUUUUUAAACUCACAGGAUUACGUUGGAAAUCGACUACUUGAUUACGUUAACACCCUGCCCCAACUUUGUACCCUACGAAUAGUGUUCCAUUUGAAGGGUUACUUUCGCCGUAAAGAUACCAGUCAGGUGCUGAAAGGACGCAAACCAUACAAACGACCCACCUCGUGGGUACCGUUCGAUCGUACGGGGCUUACGUACUCACUAAGGUUUCGUAAAUGAGAAGUUAUGCCCGCCUUCGGAACGACCAAACUAACAGUAUCCGUGAAAGAUGGAGGUCUAGUACUUAAGUCUAAGGUUCGGUUAAGUAAAUCUUUCCUAUGUUAUCACAAUCUUCCCGGUGGUUCCACAAAUUGUCCUCUCCUUCACCUUUGAGUGUACAUGUGUGUACACUUACUGUGGAAGUUAAUGUUAUUUAACGUGUUAACCUGAGUGUAUUCAACGAAAACCGUUGAAGGUAUGAAGUUUUUCAACUUCGAGGCUGUGUUGUAACUACACUACGUGUUACUUUCUUUACGUCGACUUCGAUAUAAAUUGUGUACGAAACUGUAAGGGCUAUUUUGAUUUCUAUUACACUUCCGUUCUUUUCUAGAUCGACUUUAAACGUUGGCAGGAAGCUACGUGAAUUUUAACUUCCUGAUACCCUUCACCCUGUUCGGUCUUCCACUGUCCUUUAAAUUUAUACGACUGGGUUUAAGGUUCGUGAUGUUCAUAUUAUACGUUGAACCUUAGUAAGAAUUUGCUCUUGUGGGUCCCUAUUAACUCUUCUUCCUUCCACUAUAACAGUAAUUUUGGGCGGGUCGAAACCUCACCAAACUAAUAAUACUAUUACUAUGAGAUCUACUAUUCCCCGUCCGACGACGUCUAGCACACUUCCUACAAAAAACCUUGAACAAACUCUAGGUGCACUUUCUACUACUUCUAGAUCUGUUCCACCUCCUACUACGACUAGAACACAACCUGUUGAUGCGUUACUUUUUUCACUCUCUGUGCUACAUAGUUGAAACACACCUACGACACUUCAAGAUGAAACUCUUUGUUCCUCUCGCCGAACUACUGUGUAGCCGUACAAGUUUUCUUGAACUUAUACGGGUUAUGAACCUCACGUCUUAUGGUACCAAAUUCCUUGUACGUACCGGAGUAGAAACACGAAUAACCACGAGUUUCUGCAAGUUCAGGAAUUCCUUCUCUCCCAUCCUUAGGGCUAAGUUCUCACUUCUACAACGAGUUUUAGCCCCUCCAAGUGAAAGUAAACACCUCCGAGCUGUUUAAGACCGACUCUUUAUACCUGGACUCUUCCGAUGGUGCGACUUAUGUAUACGACGUUACUUUAGACCUGAGUUCUUAACCCUACCGUCACCAUCGUGGUCGUGCUGGGAGUCGCCCUUCCGUUUUUUUACGAAACUACUAAUGAGACUAAACCGAUCUCGGCGUGUAGGACUACUAACCCUCGUCGCUCUCAACCUACCCGUUUAUAAUAUACUUAGUAAUCCACCGUAAGGGGUACCCGCUGAUCGUUAUCGUCUACCCCGCUAAUUCUUCCGACUACAAUAGAGUUGUAGAUCUCUUUUCUUUAACUCCGGCAGUUGAAGUCGUCGUGUAGCUGCUUGACAAGUUCUUUUACUUCUCAACUUCGCUGUAUUACUCUUGGACGUCACUGUAUUACUCUUGGACGUUGUAUUUCACCUAUACGUACUUGCCUAGGAUCACCGGGAAAAAUUCCUCUACCCUUUUCUUGAUGGUUACCUCGAUGUGGUUCCUCGCUCAAGGGUUGGUGUACCCUGUGGAUUAAGUAGAGUAUACUCUGGGGUUCGGUGGCUACUGUUGUGACCACUACUACUAGACCCACGUUUACCACCACGACUGUUGAGGUCACCCUUAUGGUCACUGUUGUUACAAUCACGACCACCACCGCUGUGAUCAAUAUUGUAAGCACUUUGACUCUGGAUCUUAGUAUCUACCAACAACAUUGGAACCAUCACGGAAAACAACUGAACCUCGGUCUGAAAUCUUAAUUACAACCACAACCGUUGUUUCGUCGUAAAACGAUCAACGUUCUGAAAUCUUGAUUUCCACCACAAACGUUGUUCCAUCGUAAAACCAUCAACGUUCUGAAAUCUACUUGAUACUACAUGAAACGAACAUAACGAAACCUAUACGUUUUGACUACCAAUAGGAACAUUCGACUCUUGACAAUACAUCUAACAAAGACUACGAAACCUACACGUUUUAACUACCU